GCUAACUUUGUUAAAACCGGAUAUUGUGUUUCGUGGAUCUUUCUGCUAACUUCGAAAAAACCCUCGCUCGCUCCUGAUCUGGGUCGUUUGAACGUGUUUACCAUGAAUGUCAGUAUAUAGGCGCACAAAAAUAAACUGUUAUUAAAGAAUGUCCACAGACGAGUGCCUCGGACGUGGGAGCGUCAUCAGGCCAAAGUGUAACAAUGAGCACUUCAGCCAAAGAAAAACUACAUCAUAUGGAUCCUGUUUGUGGUUCAAUGUUUGAUGGUUCAUUGAUGUGUUCUGUUUAGUUAUACAUGUACACUUUAAUUCAAUAAAGUGAUUUACUA